GGCCACAAAAUUCCGCCAAGAAUAAACAAAGACUGAAAGAGAUUGCGGGAUGUUGUUUACGUGUGUCACUCGACACUGACUGCAAGAAACAAAGAGUGGAGAGCUAAUGCAUGGUGCUAAGUAUGGAAAGGUCUCUUGUGGAUUGGUUGUGCCAGAGACAAAUGUACAUUAUUUCCAUGUUGGGUCAGAAGUCUCGGUACAAUUUGGGUGAG